GCCUGGGUGGCCCAGCGGUUGAGCAUCUGCCUUCAGCUCAGGUCAUGAUCCCGGGGUCCUGGGAUCCAGUCCCACCUCAGGCU
rnacentral:tRNA from 1 species